GGUACCGGGGGAGGAACUGGGGGCGGUACCGGGGGUGGCAACAACAACUGUCGAGAUUACAACAGCAACUGCGCAGCUUGGGCUGCACGAGGCGAGUGCGGACGUAACCCACGAUAUAUGCAGCUGAAUUGUAGACAGUCGUGUCGUCUCUGCAGUGGAGGAGGAAGUAGCAGUUGCGUGGACUACAACACAUACUGUGCCUCGUGGGCUUCACGUGGCGAGUGCACCCGUAACCCUCGGUAUAUGAUCCCUUACUGCCCCAAGUCCUGCAAUAGAUGCACCUCGGGAUCUCCAUC